GGGGAAUAUUGCACAAUGGGCGCAAGCCUGAUGCAGCCAUGCCGCGUGUGUGAAGAAGGCCUUCGGGUUGUAAAGCACUUUCAGCGGGGAGGAAGGCGGUGAGGUUAAUAACCUCACCGAUUGACGUUACCCGCAGAAGAAGCACCGGCUAACUCCGUGCCAGCAGCCGCGGUAAUACGGAGGGUGCAAGCGUUAAUCGGAAUUACUGGGCGUAAAGCGCACGCAGGCGGUCUGUCAAGUCGGAUGUGAAAUCCCCGGGCUCAACCUGGGAACUGCAUUCGAAACUGGCAGGCUAGAGUCUUGUAGAGGGGGGUAGAAUUCCAGGUGUAGCGGUGAAAUGCGUAGAGAUCUGGAGGAAUACCGGUGGCGAAGGCGGCCCCCUGGACAAAGACUGACGCUCAGGUGCGAAAGCGUGGGGAGCAAAC
rnacentral:rRNA from 1 species